rnacentral:rRNA from 1 species
GACGAACGCUGGCGGCGUGCCUAAUACAUGCAAGUAGAACGCUGAAGGAGGAGCUUGCUUCUCCGGAUGAGUUGCGAACGGGUGAGUAACGCGUAGGUAACCUGCCUGGUAGCGGGGGAUAACUAUUGGAAACGAUAGCUAAUACCGCAUAACAGUAGAUAUUGCAUGAUAUCUGCUUGAAAGGUGCAAUUGCAUCACUACCAGAUGGACCUGCGUUGUAUUAGCUAGUUGGUGAGGUAACGGCUCACCAAGGCGACGAUACAUAGCCGACCUGAGAGGGUGAUCGGCCACACUGGGACUGAGACACGGCCCAGACUCCUACGGGAGGCAGCAGUAGGGAAUCGUCGGCAAUGGACGGAAGUCUGACCGAGCAACGCCGCGUGAGUGAAGAAGGUUUUCGGAUCGUAAAGCUCGGUUGUAAGAGAAGAACGAGUGUGAGAGUGGAAAGUUCACACUGUGACGGUAUCUUACCAGAAAGGGACGGCUAACUACGUG